CUCUUUUGCUAGCUUUAUGUGC
rnacentral:siRNA from 1 species